CUUGGUCAUUUAGAGGAAGUAAAAGUCGUAACAAGGUCUCCGUUGGUGAACCAGCGGAGGGAUCAUUAAAGAGUUCUAUAACUCCCAAAACCCAUGUGAACAUACCUCACGUCGCCUCGGCAGGUCGCGCCUACCUCGUAGCGUCCUACCCUGUAGACGCGGGUAAGCCUGCCGGCGGCCCACGAAACUCUGUUUAGCACUGAAUUCUGAACCUAUAACUAAAUAAGUUAAAACUUUCAACAACGGAUCUCUUGGUUCUGGCAUCGAUGAAGAACGCAGCGAAAUGCGAUAAGUAAUGUGAAUUGCAGAAUUCAGUGAAUCAUCGAAUCUUUGAACGCACAUUGCGCCCAUUAGUAUUCUAGUGGGCAUGCCUGUUCGAGCGUCAUUUCAACCCUUAAGCCUCUGUUGCUUAGUGUUGGGAGCCUACGGUAUAGUAGCUCCCUAAAGUUAGUGGCGGAGUCGGUUCACACUCUAGACGUAGUAGAUUUUAUCUCGCCUAUCAGUUGGACCGGUCCCCUGCCGUAAAACCCCCCC
rnacentral:rRNA from 1 species